AUUAUUUUGAUUAGGAAAAUAGAGAAAAACUUUACCACGGAGCAAAAUAGAAAGAGGAAAAAGGUGAGGAGCGUGGCAACUGGCAAGAUUCCCCGUACGUGUGUUCUUCCUCCCCUGUCGCAGAGACGACGCACCGAUCGUUGUUCCGGUGAGCUUUUUGUUUCCACCGUCGUGUAUUGAAUCUACAGUUCACCAGAAUAUAUAAAGUUUGGAUUUUUAUUCGUAUAUGAAUGAUUGAUCAAUCUCCUUUAAAAGGUUUGAUCUUUGAUUGUGAGAAUCUAGAAUCUAGGGUUUCUGGUCAAGGACGUGAGUGUUGGAAUCUAUCUGAUAAAAGGAAUAGUUUUUGGUGGGAGAGAGAGAUUAUGGGUUCAGUUUGUUGUGUAGCUGUGAAAGACAGAAAGCUUCCUCCUCCUUGUAAUAGUAGUGGACUGGACUCCACAAUUGAUCUCAAAUUUGAUGGUCACACAUUGUUCAGAUUCAUCCUUUCUGCAUUCAACCUUUAGCCACUGGCUCCCAUUAUCCUUCUUCUGAGGGUGACUGGUCCUUUAACACUUUCUCUGAGCCCGUGGCCUUUUCUCAAAGGGAGAGAUGGUCCUUUGAUAGCCAACACUUUGGUGGUUCUAGCAGCGUAGUGGUGGCAGCAGCAGAUUCUCCUUGUCAAAGCAUUACAAAAGAUGUAAACACCGUGUGGUGGUGGAUAGUGAGUGCAAUGUUCCAGAAGAUGGAACCUAGUUGCAGUAGCAAAGCCCCGUCUAAGUCAUUCUUGAUAUGGCGUUCCAUCAGCUCCAAAUGGAGUAAACCCUCGUCCAAAGACUCUGUAUCGAAGAAAAGGUUUUGGUCUAGACAUCGUUACAACCGUUCUUCAUCAAGCAUAGAGGGACUUAACCAGACAUCUCAGCUUUGAUGAAACAUCAAGUGGAUUAUUUAGGAAAAAUAUAGAUAUUAAGCUUUCAGUGUAAACAGAAGUUAUCAUUGUAGAGAGGUUACAGGGCUUCUCUAUGAAGUUCUGUAAUCUCCAUGACCUGCAAGAGCAUGUGAUGUUUCUCUGAUGCAGAUGAUCUCCAUGUUUACAACUGAAACCUUCCCACAUGAACAGGAGAUGAGAACCAAAUAAACAUGUGUAUGUUCACGCUUGAAAAGUAUUUUGUUUAUACACAAAUAAAAACAUUACAAUA